rnacentral:tRNA from 1 species
CGCGGGGUGGAGCAGUCCGGUAGCUCAUCAGGCUCAUAACCUGAAGGUCGUAGGUUCAAAUCCUACCCCCGCAACCA